UACGUAGGGUGCGAGCGUUGUCCGGAAUUACUGGGCGUAAAGAGCUCGUAGGUGGUUUGUCGCGUUGUUCGUGAAAUUCCCUGGCUUAACUGGGGGCGUGCAGUGGAUACGGGCCGGCUGGAGGCAGGCAGGGGAGAAUGGAAUUCCCGGUGUAGCGGUGAAAUGCGCAGAUAUCGGGAGGAACACCGGUGGCGAAGGCGGUUCUCUGGGCCUGUACUGACGCUGAGGAGCGAAAGCGUGGGGAGCGAACAGG
rnacentral:rRNA from 1 species